CACGUAGGGUGCGAGCGUUGUCCGGGAAUUAUUGGGCGUAAGGAGCUCGUAGGCGGUCCGUCACGGUCGGGUAGUGAAAGUUCCAACGGGCUCAACCCCUGGACCUGCAUUCGAUACGGGCGGACUAGAGUUCGGGUAGGGGAGACUGGAAUUCCUGGUGUAGCGGUGAAAUGCGCAGAUAUCAGGAGGAACACCUAUGGCGAAGGCAGCACUCUGGGACGGUACUGACGCUGAGACGCGAAAGCGUGGGGAGCGAACAGG
rnacentral:rRNA from 1 species